rnacentral:rRNA from 1 species
GAAUCAGUACGCUGGUCGUGCCUUCGGUAUGUACUGGUGUCACUGGUUUCUCCCUUCUGAAGAACCAUCAUGCCAUUCACUUGGUGUGGUGGGAAAUCAGGACUGUUACUUUGAAAAAAUUAGAGUGUUCAAAACAAGCUUAUGCUUGAAUACAUUAGCAUGGAAUAACGGAAUAGGACU